AUGAACCUAUUUGAAGUGGCCCAUUUCGUACCAGAAAAGCCCAUGUAUGAACAAGGGUUGAUUUUACUUCCACACUUAGCUACUCUAGGUUAG
rnacentral:rRNA from 1 species